rnacentral:rRNA from 1 species
UUGAUCCUGGCUCAGAAUCAACGCUGGCGGCGUGCCUAACACAUGCAAGUCGAACGCGAAAGGGGACUUCGGUUCCCGAGUAGAGUGGCGCACGGGUGAUUAACACGUGGGUAAUCUGCCUUUGGGUGGGGAAUAACGGCCCGAAAGGGUCGCUAAUACCGCAUAACGCAGCGGCACCGCAUGGUGACAGUUGUUAAAGUGGGGGAUCUUCGGACCUCCUGCCUGAAGAGGAGCCCGCGCCCGAUUAGCUAGUUGGUGAGGUAACGGCUCACCAAGGCUGCGAUCGGUAGCCGGCCUGAUAGGGCGGUCGGCCACACUGGCACUGAGACACGGGCCAGACUCCUACGGGUGGCAGCAGUGGGGAAUUUUGGGCAAUGGGCGCAAGCCUGACCCAGCAACUCCGCGUGAAGGACGAAAUCCCUCUGGGAUGUAAACUUCGAAAGUUAGGGUAGAAAUACCGGAGGCGAAUACCCUCCGGGGAUGACGGUACCUAACGUAAUCCCCGGCUAACUACGUGCCAGCAGCCGCGGUAAUAAGGU